UUAGAUAGAGGCGCAAAAGACAUCAGUAUAAUCAUUUACAUCUGGCAGAUAUUAAAAAUGAUUUGAAAGGGGAUUUUGCCGAAAUAGAAAUAUAAAUGCCAAAGUAUUUUUAUUGGGAGUAUGGAUAACAUCUAUACUACUGUCAUUAUUUUUCAUUAAUGGAGUGCUGUCUUU
rnacentral:ncRNA from 1 species